ACUGAAUGGAGGACCGAACCGACUUACGUUGAAAAGUGAGCGGAUGAACUGAGGGUAGCGGAGAAAUUCCAAUCGAACCUGGAGAUAGCUGGUUCUCUCCGAAAUAGCUUUAGGGCUAGCCUCAAGUGAUGAUUAUUGGAGGUAGAGCACUGUUUGGACGAGGGGCCCCUCUCGGGUUACCGAAUUCAGACAAACUCCGAAUGCCAAUUAAUUUAACUUGGGAGUCAGAACAUGGGUGAUAAGGUCCGUGUUCGAAAGGGAAACAGCCCAGACCACCAGCUAAGGUCCCAAAAUAUAUGUUAAGUGGAAAAGGAUGUGGCGUUGCCCAGACAACUAGGAUGUUGGCUUAGAAGCAGCCAUCAUUUAAAGAGUGCGUAAUAGCUCACUAGUCGAGUGACACUGCGCCGAAAAUGUACCGGGGCUAAACAUAUUACCGAAGCUGUGGAUUGUCCUUUGGACAAUGGUAGGAGAGCGUUCUAAGGGCGUUGAAGCAUGAUCGUAAGGACAUGUGGAGCGCUUAGAAGUGAGAAUGCCGGUGUGAGUAGCGAAAGACGGGUGAGAAUCCCGUCCACCGAUUGACUAAGGUUUCCAGAGGAAGGCUCGUCCGCUCUGGGUUAGUCGGGUCCUAAGCUGAGGCCGACAGGCGUAGGCGAUGGAUAACAGGUUGAUAUUCCUGUACCACCUAUAAUCGUUUUAAUCGAUGGGGGGACGCAGUAGGAUAGGCGAAGCGUGCGAUUGG
rnacentral:rRNA from 1 species